rnacentral:rRNA from 1 species
UACGUAGGGUGCAAGCGUUAAUCGGAAUUACUGGGCGUAAAGCGUGCGCAGGCGGUUUUGUAAGCCAGAUGUGAAAUCCCCGGGCUUAACCUGGGAACUGCGUUUGAAACUACAAGGCUAGAGUGUGGCAGAGGGGGGUGGAAUUCCACGUGUAGCAGUGAAAUGCGUAGAGAUGUGGAGGAACACCGAUGGCGAAGGCAGCCCCCUGGGUUAACACUGACGCUCAGGCACGAAAGCGUGGGGAGCAAACAGGG